rnacentral:rRNA from 1 species
CGGGGUGAGUAACGCGUGGAUAACCUGCCUCACACUGGGGGAUAACAGUUAGAAAUGACUGCUAAUACCGCAUGAGCGCACAGUACCGCAUGGUACGGUGUGAAAAACUCCGGUGGUGUGAGAUGGAUCCGCGUCUGAUUAGCCAGUUGGCGGGUAACGGCCCACCAAAGCGACGAUCAGUAGCCGACCUGAGAGGGUGACCGGCCACAUUGGGACUGAGACACGGCCCAA